rnacentral:rRNA from 1 species
AAGUCAGUUGUGAAAGCCUUCCGCUUAACGGAAGAACGGCAUCUGAUACUACAGGGCUUGAGUACGGGAGGGGAGAGUGGAACUUCUGGUGGAGCGGUGAAAUGCGUAGAUAUCAGAAGGAACGCCGGCGGCGAAAGCGACUCUCUGGUCCGAAACUGACGCUGAGUGUGCGAAAGCUAGGGGAGCAAACGGGAUUAGAUACCCCGGUAGUCCUAGCCGUAAACGAU